rnacentral:rRNA from 2 species
CGGCUACCUGGUCUGCAACUGACGCUGAGACUCGAAAGCAUGGGUAGCGAACAGGAUUAGAUACCCUGGUAGUCCAUGCCGUAAACGAUGAGUGCUAGGUGUUGGAGGGUUUCCGCCCUUCAGUGCCGGAGCUAACGCAUUAAGCACUCCGCCUGGGGAGUACGACCGCAAGGUUGAAACUCAAAGGAAUUGACGGGGGCCCGCACAAGCGGUGGAGCAUGUGGUUUAAUUCGAAGCUACGCGAAGAACCUUACCAGGUCUUGACAUCUUGCGCCAACCCUAGAGAUAGGGCGUUUCCUUCGGGAACGCAAUGACAGGUGGUGCAUGGUCGUCGUCAGCUCGUGUCGUGAGAUGUUGGGUUAAGUCCCGCAACGAGCGCAACCCUUGUUACUAGUUGCCAGCAUUAAGUUGGGCACUCUAGUGAGACUGCCGGUGACAAACCGGAGGAAGGUGGGGACGACGUCAGAUCAUCAUGCCCCUUAUGACCUGGGCUACACACGUGCUACAAUGGACGGUACAACGAGUCGCGAACUCGCGAGGGCAAGCAAAUCUCUUAAAACCGUUCUCAGUUCG